rfam:Dipodomys ordii contig_41059, whole genome shotgun sequence.
GCUCAGUGGUAGAGCGCUUGCCUUACAUGCAUGAGGCCCUGGGUUCAAUUCCUCAG